AAGUCGAACGGAGCGUUGAAGGAGUCUUGUACGUUUUUAAGUCUUAGUGGCGGACGGGUGAGUAACACGUGAGACAACCUGUCCUUCAGAGGGGAUAACGUUUGGAAACGAACGCUAAUACCGCAUACAUUGCUUUAAGGCAUCUUAAGGCAAUCAAAGGAGCAAUCCGCUGAAAGAUGGGCUCGCGUCCGAUUAGAUAGUUGGCGAGGGUAACGGCCCACCCAAGUCGACGAUCGGUAGCCGGACUGAGAGGUUGAACGGCCACAUUGGGACUGAGACACGGCCCAGACUCCUACGGGAGGCAGCAGUGGGGAAUAUUGCACAAUGGGGGAAACCCUGAUGCAGCGACGCCGCGUGAGGGAAGAAGGUUUUCGGAUUGUAAACCUCUGCCUUUGGUGACGAAAGAUGACGGUAGCCAAAGAGGAAGCUACGGCUAACUACGUG
rnacentral:rRNA from 1 species